rnacentral:lncRNA from 1 species
CAUACAUCCACUCAUUUCCAUAUCCAGAUUCACCCAAAAUUAUUCUACUCCUAUCCAGGAGAGAAUAACCAAAAACAUUCUCCUAUUCCUGUUAUUCCCUAUGAAAUAAAUGCUCAAGUUAUCUUGGUUACUACCACUUGCUAUAUUAUUCCAGAGAGAUGAGUGCUCUAAAAAAAUGAAUACGAGGAAAUAAAAAGGGGCAAGUGCCCGGAACCUCGAAGAAAAGAAAAAAAGUGAGACGAGAGGUAAAAAUGGACAAGUAUCCGACAGUAGAAUUAGGGGUACAAGAUACCCACCUGAGAGAAAAAAAUAAAUAUAUAUAGAGCAUCUCAUUCUCUUGAAAAAGUUUCAAAGUGCAAGGAAGGUAUGUAUCCCCUCAAAAGAGCAAAAGUAGAAUUAGACUUUCACCAUUGUUAUCACCAUCAUCACCAUACACCAUUCAUUCCCCACACAUGCACAUCCUGAUUUGACUUAUUGACUUGUUUCUCUGGAUCCAUGGUUUGACUAUGCAAUAAAUGUCUUGUACGUGUGUAUACUUUAUCUCCCACCUAUGAGCUCCAGAUAUCAAAGCGUUAUUAGAGUAGGAUGAGAGAGAAGGCAAUGUCACUAUGCCUUAUACUACAAAUACCACAUACUUUGAGAGAAGGCAUAUACCAUCACUGCCUUGGUAAGGAUCCAGAAAUACCAUAAAAGAGAGAUCUG